AGAGCACAUUAGCGUUGGUUUCUCUACCCCUGCCCGGGUUCGGGCGUGCGUUCUGUGAGUGGCUCUCCGGGACAUUCAAAGCUCGACGCCAGGGUCCUAGCAGAAGCCAGGGUCCGAAAGCUAAGCGAGAGCUCUGGGACGUCCCUUCACCUGUCAGAGGGUGGCCUUGGGGCUUCCGCCUAAGGGGAGUCCCUGGUCCGGUUUCGCCAGCUUUUGGGCCAUUUGGGGAGUUUGGCGAAGAGGUCCCCACAGCUCGCCCCGGGGACGUACGUGGCGCGGCACUCACCUUCAUCGUCGGCGUCUCCUCGGAAGUGAGCGUUCAGAGAAGGAGCGCAGGCAGAAGUCACCGCGGGCGGCGGAGACGCGCGUCCUGCACCGCUGCUCCGGGCGGUGGAGUCACUCGCCGCUGGAAGGAAGACUGUACACAGAGAAUAAAUAACUUGGCCAAGCCAUUCAGCUAGGAAGUUGUAGAUCCUAAAUUAAGAGUUCAAGGUCUUAAUGGCUACUCUAUGCGGCCUCUCAUAGUCUUUUCAAGGGUUUUGGAGAAGAAUAAAAGAUCAGUCAUCCACAGAUGUUUGAGUGGUUACAAUGUGCCAGCCUCCCUUCUAGGUACUGGAGAUAAAGUGGGACAAGAGAGGUGAGGUCUGGACCCUUGGCACUUUCACGAUAAAAUACACAGGUAAACAUUUGCCUUUAGGGCCCCCUGUGAUUACUUCCACUCUUGCAGAUAAGAGGAUAAGGCCUCUUCAGCUUGUUCACAGCAGCUGAAAAGCAAAGCCUCUCUGUCAGUAGAGGUAAAAGAUUAAGAAUGCAG
rnacentral:lncRNA from 10 species